AGAGUUUGAUCAUGGCUCAGAUUGAACGCUGGCGGCAUGCCUUACACAUGCAAGUCGAACGCGAAAGUGGGGGCAACCCUGCGAGUAGAGUGGCGAACGGGUGAGUAAUACAUCGGAACGUACCCAGGAGUGGGGGACAACCUCGAGAAAUCGAGGCUAAUACCGCAUACGUCCUGAGGGAGAAAGCGGGGGAUCCGUAAGGACCUCGCGCUCAUGGAGCGGCCGAUGUCGGAUUAGCUAGUUGGCGGGGUAAAGGCCCACCAAGGCUACGAUCCGUAGCUGGUUUGAGAGAACGACCAGCCACACUGGGACUGAGACACGGCCCAGACUCCUACGGGAGGCAGCAGUGGGGAAUUUUGGACAAUGGGGGCAACCCUGAUCCAGCCAUGCCGCGUGAGUGAAGAAGGCCUUCGGGUUGUAAAGCUCUUUCGGCCGGAACGAAAUCGCGUACGUGAAUAACGUGCGUGGAUGACGGUACUGGAAGAAGAAGCACCGGCUAACUACGUGCCAGCCGCCGCGGUAAUUCA
rnacentral:rRNA from 1 species